AGCGAACGCUGGCGGCAGGCCUAACACAUGCAAGUCGAGCGCCGUAGCAAUACGGAGCGGCAGACGGGAGAGUAACACGUGGGAACGUACCCUUUGGUUCGGAACAACCCAGGGAAACUUGGGCUAAUACCGGAUAAGCCCUUACGGGGAAAGAUUCAUCGCCGAAGGGACGGCCCGUGUCUGAUUGGAUAUUUGGUGGGGUAAUGGCGCACGAAGGCGUCGAGCAGUAGCGGGUCUGAGAGGAUGAUCAGCCUAACUGGGACUGAGACACGGACCAGACUCGUACGGGAGGCAGAAGUGGGGAAUGUAGGACAAUGGGCGCAAGCCUGAUCCAGCCAUGCCGCGUGGGUGAUGAAGGCCCUAGGGUUGUAAAGCCCUUUCGGCGGGGAAGAUAAUGACGGUACCCGCAGAAGAAGCCCCGGCUAACUUCGUGCCAGCCGCCGCAGUAACAC
rnacentral:rRNA from 1 species